AUUGAACGCUGGCGGCAUGCCUUACACAUGCAAGUCGAACGGCAGCACGGGAGCUUGCUCCUGGUGGCGAGUGGCGAACGGGUGAGUAAUACAUCGGAACGUACCCUGAAGUGGGGGAUAACGUAGCGAAAGUUACGCUAAUACCGCAUAUUCUGUGAGCAGGAAAGAGGGGGAUCGCAAGACCUCUUGCUUUAGGAGCGGCCGAUGUCGGAUUAGCUAGUUGGUGAGGUAAAGGCUCACCAAGGCGACGAUCCGUAGCGGGUCUGAGAGGAUGAUCCGCCACACUGGGACUGAGACACGGCCCAGACUCCUACGGGAGGCAGCAGUGGGGGAAUUUUGGACAAUGGGCGCAAGCCUGAUCCAGCCAUGCCGCGUGAGUGAAGAAGGCC
rnacentral:rRNA from 1 species